rnacentral:rRNA from 1 species
AUGGAUGGCCGACUCUGCCAGGCCAGGACUCCCUCGCUGCCGCAGGACCUCCCCGACCCGCCUUCUCCUGCGAGCUCCCAAGGCACCAGCCUCCCCUCCGCGAGAUCCGGCGAUGCCGGCCACCAGGACCAGCUGCUGCUCUGGCCGCAACCACCUCCGGUCUUCAACCCCGACGCCCGCCAUGGCCCUCCUCGGGCUGCUGCUCCUUGGAGUCGCCCUUGUCAGCAACCAGCACGACCUCGAGGCCGCCCUCUCUUUUCCCCUGCACAGGAGCUCGCAGCUACCACCAUCGCCUCCUUGUUGUUGACAUCCCGAGGCCCCUUGUGUUGUUUUGUGUUGGACGGCAAGACCGGCAAGGUCGACUACAGGGACACCAAGUACCACGACACUGAAGACCCGAACUCCAUCAAAACCAGUACUCGGUGA